rnacentral:rRNA from 1 species
UACGGGAGGCAGCAGUGGGGAAUAUUGCACAAUGGGCGCAAGCCUGAUGCAGCCAUGCCGCGUGUAUGAAGAAGGCCUUCGGGUUGUAAAGUACUUUCAGUCGUGAGGAAGGUGUUAAGGUUAAUAACCUUAGCAAUUGACGUUAGCGACAGAAGAAGCACCGGCUAACUCCGUGCCAGCAGCCGCGGUAAUACGGAGGGUGCGAGCGUUAAUCGGAAUUACUGGGCGUUAAAGGGCACGCAGGCGGUUAAUUAAGUUGGAUGUGAAAUCCCCGGGCUUAACCUGGGAAUGGCAUUCAAGACUGGUUAGCUAGAGUCUUGUAGAGGGGGUAGAAUUCCAUGUGUAGCGGUGAAAUGCGUAGAGAUGUGGAGGAAUACCGGUGGCGAAGGCGGCCCCUGGGACAAAGACUGACGCUCAUGUGCGAAAGCGUGGGGAGCAAACAGGAUUAGAUACC